UACGGAGGGUGCGAGCGUUGUCCGGAAUCAUUGGGCGUAAAGGGUGCGUAGGCGGGUUUUUAAGUCAGGGGUGAAAUCCUGGAGCUCAACUCCAGAACUGCCUUUGAUACUGAAGAUCUUGAGUUCGGGAGAGGUGAGUGGGAACUGCGAGUGUAGAGGUGAAAUUCGUAGAUAUUCGCAAGAACACCAGUGGCGAAGGCGGCUCACUGGCCCGGUACUGACGCUGAGGUGCGAAAGCGUGGGGGAGCAAACAGGG
rnacentral:rRNA from 1 species